GAUGAUGAUGAUGAUGAUGAUGAUGGAGCUCCCAGGAGCUCACCUCUGCAGCCAUAUGUAAUGUGCUCAUAAGAAUGACAUUCUUGUUCUUUUUUUUACAUGUACCAGACAACUGUGGUGUCCUGGGUGAACUUACUCAAACUUAGAAGAAAAGAUCUCUCUCCCACUUGAUUGACUUGUGUUUCUUCUGUGCUCCAUAAACAGGAUGAUCACUCCUUUCACUGUUUUGAGAUUCUCCUUUGCCCCUUCAAAAACCAUGAGGCGUCUGUCUAUGUGAACCUGGGGCAUGGGGGAAUCUCAAAACAGUGACCUCUUGAACUCUGUCACCACUGUGCCAUAAAAAAUACACACACACAUGGUCUGUGCAGUUUCACAGUUUCAAGUUUCCCUAAAACUUCCAUUUUGCUUCAUUUGACCCACACUGAUAGAGCUAAAAUCCAUCUUGAUACGGGUCAAAAUUGACCCGAAACAGCCUCAGUGUCGCAAAAUUUGUAGCACCUGUGCAAAAGUAUAACAUUUUAAAAUAUUUUCAUUUUUGUGUAUUUUGGCAAAAUUUAGGAAAAGUCAUCAAAUUUCAGGAAAAAAGAAUGAUGUUUAGGGUAUUUUUUCUACUGUUGAAGGUCAAAACGAGUCAAAUUUGAUACUUGUGCUACUUGUGAUACUACUGCAAAUACUUUUACUGCAACUCUUUUUCUGUUUCCGUGGUGUCCUUUUGUGUUUCUGCCAUUGUUGGAAUUGUAUUUCUCAAACUCGAGGUGGAAAUUCAAACUGGAUUUUAGUUUUUAACUGAAGAGGAACAUUUUACACAAACGGACAUGCGAAAGUUGAAAUUUAUUUUAUAAUAUUAGAAUUCUGAAAUGAAUGAUUCACUCUAGCAGCAUGUUUUACUAAAGCUUUUCAGUCAUUAUUUUGUGACAAUUAGACAUAUUGCCAGUUAAAGGAACAGGGUAUAUUUUGUAAUAAAAAUGAGAAAAGGAAAUAAAAACCUUGAAUGAAGUUUGAAGAACCUAAUAACUGAAGUAACAUGACCUUGUGUGUGAAAUGCAGACGUGUUACUGGAGAGACGACGAGCUGGAUCUGCAGAAUAACAGACCAGCAGCAGGACCACGCUCCACUGAAGACAGGAUCCUGACCACAGCCUCACAGGUUGGUCACUUGGACAGUCCCCCGUCCUCUGAGCGUCCGGCACAAACGGUCCAGACUGACUCUAAAGAAGAUGGACACAGGACGCAGAGAAAAACUCUGCUGUGUGGGACGAGAGCGACCAGCAGCGCCCCCUGCAGAUGAGAGGCAGGUAAAAGCAUCAACAUAGGGAGAUUCCAGUGGGACCCAAGAAAGACGAUGACAAAGCUGAAGGGGAAGGCCCGAUCAGAGACCCGGUCCUGAUUCACGGUCUGAGCGUCCAAAGAUAUCGAGAAAUCUACCUCUCAGUUUUGACCCGGGCUGCCCUCUCUGCUCUGCCCACCGACGACCCCGCUGAAUACAUGAAGCAGGUGCUGGAGCUGAAGCAGAGGCUGGGGGAGGCUCUGAACAGACCCCAGCUCCAGGAGACGGUCAGACAGGACGGGAGUGUGCACAUCACAGAGACCUCUGACCUCACAAGAAACUACUGUGGACCAGAGAAUACAGAAGAAUAAACUCAACUACACGACAGUCAGGCUUUCUGAAUGUUACUAUAUGGUACAUGAAUGUAGAGAAGGUUUCAUUGGGAGGCACCUGGACACUGUUUUUGCAAUAAAGAUGUUCCCAUCCAGAAGUCAUGUUCACUGUGAUGGUGCUGGUCUGAGACACUAGGACUUAUACUAGUUAAGUCCUGUCCCUAAUGUUCCAAGAAACUAAUGAAUCGCUUAGUGAACAAUAAUGACCAGGUAAUCCUAGCCUGAUUCAUCAGCCAGUUUCAUUUCGUGGAAACAAUCUGACCUCGCAGCAUUAGAAUUAGUUUGCUCGACGGUAGGCGAGUACUUUUUUAUUUAACCAAUCGCUACUAUUUGGUCAUGACGUAUGUAAUGCACUGGAACACUGGUGGAGAGUGAACAUUUCUGUCAAUGAGGAUAGCGUCUGCAGUCUGCUAUCGCAACUCGGGUUGGUUCAGCUCUUCGCUGAUUGGCCGGUCUACAAAUUCCGGGGUUCUUGCAAACCGUCUAGUGUAUUUCAAUUCCUGACCUAGAUGCUGGAGAGAAAUGAAAUUGAGCAGAGGCACUAGGUGGCACCAGCCUGGCUAAGAUAAUACAAACAUGCACAAUAAUAACAUCCUCCAGUUAGUAGUUGUCCUCACCAAGCUUAGCUCAGGGUCUGGAGGUGGGUCCCUGCUCCAGAUAAGUCGCCCCAGCAGCACUGGGUCAAAGACAAAUACUUAAAUGCUGCAGAGUAGCAGAAAAAUGGGUAUAUUUUACAUAGAGGGGUGGAAACCAGACACAGGAAAAACCCUGAACAACUGAACCUGCUACAUUCUUGCUAUGCUGCC